rnacentral:rRNA from 1 species
AAUAUUGCACAAUGGGCGCAAGCCUGAUGCAGCCAUGCCGCGUGUGUGAAGAAGGCCUUCGGGUUGUAAAGCACUUUCAGUCGUGAGGAAGGUAGUGUAGUUAAUAGCUGCAUUACUUGACGUUAGCGACAGAAGAAGCACCGGCUAACUCCGUGCCAGCAGCCGCGGUAAUACGGAGGGUGCGAGCGUUAAUCGGAAUUACUGGGCGUAAAGCGCAUGCAGGUGGUUUGUUAAGUCAGAUGUGAAAGCCCGGGGCUCAACCUCGGAAUUGCAUUUGAAACUGGCAGACUAGAGUACUGUAGAGGGGGUAGAAUUUCAGGUGUAGCGGUGAAAUGCGUAGAGAUCUGAAGGAAUACCGGUGGCGAAGGCGGCCCCCUGGACAGAUACUGACACUCAGAUGCGAAAGCGUGGGGAGCAAACAGGAUUAGAUACCCUGGUAG